AGCUUCAGAUCGGCCUGGAUCUGACUUUGGAUUGGCCUUUCUUUGGGCUCAGGUCGGCCUAGAUUUGAGCUCGAGUCAGUCUGGAUCUAGACUCAGAUCGGCCUGGAUCAAGCUUCGGAUUCGUCUAGAUCUGACUUUGGAUUGGCCUUGCUCUGGGCUUGGGUCGAUUUGGAUCAACCAUGUCGGAGAUGGACGCAUGAGCAGGGGGGGCGACAUGUUGUCUGCGAGCAACUUCGGCAUC
rnacentral:lncRNA from 1 species